rnacentral:misc_RNA from 1 species
AAAGUGCGACAAGUGUCACGACUUGCAGAUACCCGAGAGCUGACAAAUUUCUGAAUGCAAAUUGCAGCCAUGUUAACCUGGCUAUGUAUUGCAGAGAGUACUUCGCUUAUGCGCUCCAUCCAGUCAUGCUACCAUAUUUCUGGGACAUGCGACUUCCCGUCGUGUGUUGUUGUCGCGUGUGUCCGCACAUGCACCGCAACGCAAAAAAGACGAGGAGGUUGUCAAAGGAAGAAAACCUUGAGUUUUCCUGGCUUUUAUUAUUAUUAACCUGAGACGAUUAGAAAUCUCUUUUCUCCUCUCACCUCUCACCUCUGCAAUGCAGGAGAACCCGCUGAACUUAA